GACGUAGGGCGCGAGCGUUGUCCGGAUUUAUUGGGCGUAAAGAGCUCGUAGGCGGCUCAUUGCGUCAACCGUGAAAACCAGCAGCUCAACUGUUGGCUUGCGGUUGAUACGGGUGGGCUGGAGUUCGGUAGGGGAGACUGGAAUUCCUGGUGUAGCGGUGAAAUGCGCAGAUAUCAGGAGGAACACCGGUGGCGAAGGCGGGUCUCUGGGCCGAUACUGACGCUGAUGCGCGAAAGCCAGGGGAGCAAACGGG
rnacentral:rRNA from 1 species